rnacentral:rRNA from 1 species
AUGUUCAAGAUACUGAAACUUCAAAACUUUGCACAGAAAUGGCACAGCAAGUACCGAUUAGAAAAUCCAGGCACCUCGUUAAGUGAACCCACAGUGUCCGGUCUCUAUGCUUAUGAUACCAUAUGGGCGUUAGCAUCAGCAGCAGAGAAUGCUACAUAUGUGAAUUUAGACUUUGGGCCGUCUGUAACAAAGAAUGGGUCCACUGACUUUGACAGAAUAGAUACUUCAAAGGCUGCUGAAAAACUGCGAGGUGCACUACUGAAGGUCAACUUUUCGGGCAUGAGCGGGAAAUUUCGUAUUGAAAACACACAGUUAGCAUCAUCAUAUUAUAUGAUAAUCAACAUUGUUGGUCAGGAGAGAAGAGAAGUCGGGUUUUGGACUCCAGAAUUUGGCAUCUCUGGUAGUCUAAAUAUGAAGUCUGAUAUUAACACCAUCAUAUGGCCAGGAGGAGAUCAUGAAACUGUGCCUAGAGGCUGGCUGUUGCCGAGGAAUAAAAGACUCCAAAUAGGUGUACCUGCAAAUCCUGGGUUUGGCCAACUUGUAAGAUAUGAAAAUGGCCCCGAAGGCCAAAAAGGGUUCUGCAUCAAAGUUUUUGAUGAAGUAGUUGAUAAUUUACCUUACCAAGUACUAUAUGACUACCAUGGAUUUGAUGACGGGCACGGAAAUAGUAAUGGAACAUAUGAUGAACUUAUCUACAAGCUUUAUCUUAAGGGAUUCGAUGCAGUGGUAGGUGAUGUAACAAUCUUGGCCAACCGCUCUUUAUAUGUGGACUUUACUCUUCCCUAUACAGAGUCAGGGGUGCGCAUGCUGGUUCCGGUCCUGGACCGGAGACAGAAAACUGCAUGGACAUUCCUAAAGCCUCUGACAGCUGACCUUUGGUUAGGAACUGGGGCCUUUGUUGUUUUCACUGGUUUUGUAGUCUGGUGUAUUGAGAAUCACGAAGAUUUCAAAGGUACCCCAGCUAAUCAAAUUGGAUCAGUCUUCUACUUUUCCUUUUCAACACUUGUAUUUGCACACAGGGAGAAGAUUAAGAACAACUUGUCAAGAAUUGUUGUAGUUGUUUGGCUUUUUGUGGUGCUGAUAGUGCAGCAGAGUUAUACUGCAAGUUUAAGCUCAAUUCUCACAGUGGAACAACUUCAACCAGCAGUUACCAAUUUAGAUGAGGUUAUCAGGAAAGGGAGCUAUGUCGGCUACCUCAAUGAUUCAUUCUUGCCUGGGCUUUUGAAAAGUUUGAAAAUUGAUGAAUCAAAGAUGAUUGCGCUCAACUCUGCCGAGGAAUACAAUGACGCCUUGUCAACUGGAAAAGUUGCCGUCAUUGUUGAUGAGAUACCAUACCUUAAGUUGUUCCUUUCAAAAUAUUGCCACAACUACACUAUGACAGGACCAAUCUACAGGUUCGAUGGAUUUGGUUAUGCGUUCCCUCUAGGCUCUCCACUCACAGCUGAUAUCACGAGGGGCAUACUGAAGCUCGCAUCGAGUGGCAAAAUGGCUGAGCUUCAGAAAGACUUGUAUGGUGAUAAGUCAUGCCCCGACAAAGAUGACUCCCAAACUUCGAGCAGCCUUACGUUGCACAGCUUUCAGGGGUUGUUCAGCAUCUCCGGAGCAUGUUCAAUCCUGGCAUUAAUCCUGCAUGCUCUCAUAACCGAUAAAGGUGUAUUCAGCAGAUGGCUUGCCGCCAUUUGGUCCAAGCUCUUCCGCAAGAAUAAUACACUCCAAAUAAUGAUGAGGCCAGUGGCAGAUGUUGGUAAUACAGGAAGCCCGCCAGAAGGACAAGGAUCACGAGUGUGA